rnacentral:misc_RNA from 1 species
GAUGAAGAACGUAGUGAAAUGCGAUAAGUAAUGUGAAUUGCAGAAUUCAGUGAAUCAUCGAAUCUUUGAACGCACAUUGCGCCCGGCAGUACUCUGCCGGGCAUGCCUGUUCGAGCGUCAUUUCAACCCUCAAGCCCUGCUUGGUGUUGGGGUCCCACGGCCGCCGUGGGCCCUGAAAGGAAGUGGCGGGCUCGCUACAACUCCGAGCGUAUUAAUUCAUUAUCUCGCUUAGGGCGUUGGGCGGCGCUCCUGCCGUUAAAGAACCAUCUUUAACUCAAGGUUGACCUCGGAUCAGGUAGGAAUACCCGCUGAACUUAAGCAUAUCAAUAAGCGGAGGA